rnacentral:rRNA from 1 species
CCUUAGUAGCGGCGAGUGAGCGGCAAAAGCUCAAAUUUGAAAUCUGGCACUUUCAGUGUCCGAGUUGUAAUUUGAAGAAGGUAUCUUUGGGUCUGGCUCUUGUCUAUGUUUCUUGGAACAGAACGUCACAGAGGGUGAGAAUCCCGUGCGAUGAGAUGUCCCAGACCUAUGUAAAGUUCCUUCGAAGAGUCGAGUUGUUUGGGAAUGCAGCUCUAAGUGGGUGGUAAAUUCCAUCUAAAGCUAAAUAUUGGCGAGAGACCGAUAGCGAACAAGUACAGUGAUGGAAAGAUGAAAAGAACUUUGAAAAGAGAGUGAAAAAGUACGUGAAAUUGUUGAAAGGGAAGGGCUUGAGAUCAGACUUGGUAUUUUGUAUGUUACUCUCUCGGGGGUGGCCUCUACAGUUUACCGGGCCAGCAUCAGUUUGAGCGGUAGGAUAAGUGCAAAGAAAUGUGGCACUGCUUCGGUAGUGUGUUAUAGUCUUUGUCGAUACUGCCAGCUUAGACUGAGGACUGCGGCUUCGGCCUAGGAUGUUGGCAUAAUGAUCUUAAGUCGCCCGUCUUGAA